CCAACGCCACGUGGCUAAUCGUGAUCAGGGGUUUUCCAGUUAACCGACUUCGCCCUCCCUUAAAAUUUCCCCUAUAAACUCGUAGCCCUAAUUUUCAUCUCUUGUUUCUGCUCUUGCACGGGAAGGGGGGUCCGAGAUAGAAGACAAGACACGUAAAAGAGGUCCUGACGGAUCAAGUGAAGGUUUAGGGUUUUGUUUUUUGACGAUUUUCGGAAUCCAUAUCCUAGGGUUUUGUGAACCCUACUUUUUUUGUGAGAACGAUUCUGAGAAGGAAACAUGGCAUCCAUAGACGCUGAGUUAGCUAAUACCCAGGAAGAAAGGAAGAAGAUGGAGCAGCAGCUCGCAUCUAUCAAUUCUGUUACCUAUGAUGUUGAGCUGUAUGGCGCAGACAACCGGUUCGAGGGUUAUGAGCGUUCCAUUCCCGUGAAUGAAGAUGAAGAGACUCAAGAUCCCAUGGAUUCUGAGGUUGCCAGAAAAUUGGCUUCUUACACGGCACCUAAGUCUGUUAUGAAGGAGAUGCCCCGAGGUGCGGAUGAAGAUGAUGACUUGGGUUUUAAGAAACCUCAGAGGAUCAUUGAUAGGGAGGAUGAUUAUAGGAAGCGGAGACUUAGUCGGGUGAUUUCACCUGAUCGGAAUGAUGCUUUUGCCAUGGGCGAUAAGACUCCGGAUGUGUCUGUUAGGACGUACUCAGAUGUAAUGAGGGAGGAGGCGUUGAAGAGAGAGAAAGAAGAGACUUUGAGAGCCAUCGCAAAGAAGAAGAAAGAAGAGGAGGAGAAUAAAGCUUUGGAAAGGGAGAGGGAUACUGGGGCUGCCCCUGAACAGCCCACUCAGAAGAGGAGGAACAGGUGGGAUCAGUCUCAAGACUCAGAAACUGGCAGCAAAAAGGCAAAAACUGCAUCUUCUGCUUCGGAUUGGGACUUGCCUGAUGCAACCCCUGGAAUUGGUCGGUGGGAUGCAACACCUACGCCUGGAAGGGUGGCUGAUGCAACACCCUCCUUGUCCAGAAGGAACAGGUGGGAUGAGACCCCAACUCCUGGUCGUUUGGCUGAUGCUGAUGCCACCCCUGCUGGUGGGGCAACACCUGGGGCUACUCCGGCUGGCAUGACAUGGGAUGCUACUCCUAAGUUGGCAGGGCUUGCUACCCCAACUCCCAAGCGUCAGAGAUCAAGAUGGGAUGAGACACCUGCAAGCAUGGGGAGUGCCACACCUUUGCCUGGGGCUACACCAGCUGCCGCAUUCACACCUGGUGUGACUCCAGUUGGAGGGAUUGACCUUGCAACUCCAACCCCAGGAGCUAUCAAUCUUCGUGGUGCACUUACACCUGAGCAGUAUAACUUGCUCCGAUGGGAGAGGGACAUUGAAGAGAGAAACCGCCCAUUGAGUGAUGAGGAGCUCGAUGCAAUGUUCCCGCAGGAGGGUUACAAGAUCCUUGAACCACCAGCCUCAUAUGCUCCUAUUAGAACACCAGCAAGGAAACUUCUUGCUACACCAACUCCUCUAGGGACUCCUCUUUAUUCGAUCCCAGAAGAAAACCGUGGGCAGCAGUUUGAUGUUCCAAAAGAGGCACCAGGUGGGCUGCCAUUUAUGAAGCCAGAGGAUUACCAAUACUUUGGAGCAUUGUUGAAUGAAGAAAAUGAAGAAGAACUUUCGCCAGAAGAACAGAAAGAAAGGAAGAUCAUGAAGCUUCUGCUCAAGGUUAAGAAUGGAACUCCUCCACAGAGAAAAACAGCAUUGAGGCAGCUCACUGAUAAAGCUCGGGAGUUUGGCGCAGGUCCACUGUUUAACCGAAUUCUGCCAUUGCUUAUGCGGCCCACAUUGGAAGAUCAAGAGAGACACCUUCUGGUCAAAGUUAUCGAUAGAGUGCUUUAUAAGUUGGAUGAACUGGUUCGACCAUUCGUUCACAAAAUUUUGGUUGUUAUUGAACCUCUCUUGAUUGAUGAGGACUACUAUGCUCGUGUGGAGGGAAGAGAGAUCAUUUCCAAUCUUAGCAAGGCAGCUGGUUUGGCCACUAUGAUUGCUGCAAUGCGGCCAGAUAUUGACAACAUAGAUGAAUAUGUCAGGAACACAACUGCUAGGGCUUUCAGUGUUGUUGCAUCCGCUCUGGGAAUUCCUGCACUAUUGCCCUUCUUGAAAGCUGUGUGUCAGAGUAAGAAAUCCUGGCAAGCCCGUCACACAGGAAUCAAGAUUGUGCAGCAGAUUGCCAUCUUAAUAGGCUGUGCAGUUCUUCCUCAUCUUAGGUCCCUUGUAGAAAUCAUAGAGCAUGGUCUCAAUGAUGAGAACCAGAAGGUGAGAACGAUUACUGCAUUAUCUCUGGCUGCUCUUGCUGAGGCAGCUGCUCCAUAUGGUAUUGAAAGCUUUGAUUCAGUCUUGAAGCCUUUGUGGAAGGGGAUCCGGUCACACCGUGGGAAGGUCUUGGCUGCUUUUCUGAAGGCAAUUGGGUUUAUUAUUCCUCUUAUGGAUGCAAUGUAUGCUAGUUACUAUACAAAAGAAGUGAUGUUCAUACUUAUUCGGGAGUUUCAAUCACCGGAUGAAGAAAUGAAGAAAAUUGUGCUGAAAGUGGUGAAGCAGUGUGUGAGCACAGAAGGAGUUGAGUCUGACUACAUUCGUAAUGAUAUUUUGCCUGAGUUCUUUCGUAAUUUUUGGGUUAGAAGGAUGGCACUGGAUCGCAGAAACUAUAGGCAGCUGGUAGAUACAACUGUGGAGAUUGCAAACAAAGUUGGUGUUGCUGAUAUAGUAGGGAGAAUAGUUGAAGAUCUUAAAGAUGAGAGUGAACCAUAUAGGCGAAUGGUGAUGGAAACAAUUGAGAAGGUCCUUACGAACUUGGGUGCGUCUGAUAUUAAUGACCGCUUGGAAGAGCUUCUUAUUGAUGGAAUCCUAUAUGCUUUCCAAGAGCAGACCAGUGAUGAUGCUAACGUGAUGCUCACUGGGUUUGGGGCAGUGGUCAAUGCUCUUGGGCUCAAAGUGAAAGCUUAUCUUCCCCAGAUAUGUGGUACCAUAAAGUGGCGCUUGAAUAACAAGAGUGCGAAGGUGAGGCAGCAAGCAGCAGAUCUCAUAUCAAGGAUUGCUGUUGUCAUGAAGCAGUGUCAAGAGGAGCAACUGAUGGGUCACCUGGGAGUUGUCUUGUAUGAGUAUUUGGGAGAGGAGUACCCUGAGGUCUUGGGAUCCAUACUGGGAGCUCUUAAGGCAAUUGUCAACGUGAUUGGUAUGACAAAAAUGACACCCCCAAUAAAGGAUCUGCUUCCUCGUUUGACACCAAUUCUGAAGAAUCGGCAUGAGAAGGUUCAGGAGAACUGUAUUGACCUUGUUGGCAGAAUUGCUGAUCGGGGUGCUGAGUUUGUACCUGCAAGAGAGUGGAUGAGGAUAUGCUUUGAACUACUGGAGAUGCUGAAAGCCCACAAAAAGGGCAUCAGGCGGGCCACUGUAAACACAUUUGGGUACAUUGCCAAGGCUAUUGGACCACAGGAUGUCCUGGCAACACUGUUGAACAACCUUAAGGUGCAGGAGCGUCAAAACCGUGUGUGCACGACUGUGGCCAUUGCAAUAGUUGCUGAAACUUGUUCUCCUUUCACAGUUCUACCAGCCCUGAUGAAUGAGUACCGUGUGCCUGAGCUGAAUGUGCAGAAUGGUGUUCUCAAAUCCCUCUCUUUCCUUUUUGAGUACAUAGGUGAAAUGGGGAAAGACUACAUAUAUGCAGUCACCCCAUUACUUGAGGAUGCUCUCAUGGACAGAGAUCUGGUUCACAGGCAGACGGCUGCAUCUGCAGUCAAACAUAUGGCCUUGGGUGUGGCUGGGUUGGGAUGUGAGGAUGCUCUAGUCCACCUGUUGAACUAUGUGUGGCCCAACAUAUUUGAGACAUCACCCCAUGUUAUAAAUGCUGUCAUGGAAGCAAUAGAAGGAAUGAGGGUAGCCUUGGGCGCAGCUGCUGUCUUGAACUACUGUUUGCAGGGUCUGUUCCACCCGGCGAGGAAGGUCAGGGAGGUGUACUGGAAGAUCUAUAACUCACUCUAUAUUGGAGCACAAGAUGCACUUGUGGCUGCUAACCCUGUACUGGAAGAUGAAGAGAACAACAUAUUUAGCAGGCCUGAGUUGAUGAUGUUUGUAUGAGGCGAUGGAUGCCUUUUCAACAGAUGGAGGAGCCUAUACACUAAAUCUUGAUGGCCAGAUUGAGAUCUUGCUUCUGCAUGCUGUCUCUCUUAAUAUGGGUUUUCAUCUACCUUCUGGGGCGGUGGGGCGGUGGUUUGGGUGGGGUGUGGAGAAGUUCAGGCAUCCUUGAGGAAGCCUUUUUGCAAGAGGUUCACACAAGUUGCAGGGAUUUGAGCUGGGAAUGUAUUUGAUCCCCGGCAUAUUGUGGUACCGAACCCAUUUUAUCAUCUGCAUUUGCCAGAAGAGUUGUGAGAUUUGAAAUGGAGGUUUGAGUAUGACACUAAUAGAAAUGCAAAAUCAGCUCAAAUUACAGCCUAUGGUUGUGGAGAGAGUAUUUUAGGAGAUCGCUUUCAAAUAAAGCAACAUCUCUAAGAUGGUUAAUUCAGUUAAGAUAUGGAUAAAGAGAUAAGGAUGUGAUAUGAUUGUCUGAUACAAUGUUUUCUGUUUGAAGUGAUUCCUUAUCUUUAAUAUACUUGCAGGCCUAGGUUUUCUUU